GUGCUCGCUUUGGCAGUACAUAUACUAAGAUUGGAACGACACAGAGAAGAUUAGCAUGCCCCCUGCAUAAGAAUUUCAUGCAAAUUUGUGAAGCGUUAUAUAUAUUU